GAGAUCAUAUGUCUCCUGUAGUUCUUGACCAGGUUUGCACACACUGCAGCAGGGAUUUUGGCCCACUCCUUCAUACAGACCUUCUCCAGAUCCUUCAGUUUCGGGGCUGACGCUGGGCAAUACAGACUUUCAGCUCCCUCCAAAGACCUGGACAUGCGCUGGCUUGAGCAGGGGGACCUUGCGUGCGCUGCAAGAUUUUAAUCCAUGACGGCGUAGUGUGUUACUAAUGGUUUUCUUUGAGACUGUGGUCCCAGCUCUCUUCAGGUCAUUGACCAGGUCCUGCCGUGUAGUUCUGGGCUGAUCCCUCACCUUCCUCAUGAUCAUUGAUGCCCCACGAGCUCUCUAGUCUUGGCCGUUGUGGAGAAGUGCAGUUAAUACAGAUUCCGUCUCUCACAGUUGAAGUGUACCUAUGAUAAAAAUGACAGACCUCUACCUGCUUUGU
ensembl:lncRNA